rnacentral:misc_RNA from 1 species
GACAGAAAGUGCAUGCGUUAUUCGGAUUGACUGGGCGUUAAGGGUAUGUAGGCGGCUGAAUGUAACUAGGUUGGAAAUGCUCAGGUAUCAGCUGAGAUCUCUUCCUAAAGAUUAUUAAGCUAGAGUUUGGACUGAGUUGGGAAAAUUAGUAAAGUACGCAGGGGUAAAAUCCAAUGAGAUUACUAGGAAGACCAAUGGCGAAAGCACCUUUCUGGGGCAAACUGACGCUGAGGUACGAAAGGUUGGGGAGCAAAGCGG